rnacentral:rRNA from 1 species
GACAGAGGGGGCAAGCGUUGCUCGGAAUUACUGGGCGUAAAGGGCGCGUAGGCGGAAUGGCAAGUCGGUCGUGAAAUCCUUCGGCUCAACCGAAGAACGUCGAUCGAAACUGCCGUUCUUGAGGAUUGCAGAGGAGACUGGAAUUCCCGGUGUAGCGGUGAAAUGUGUAGAGAUCGGGAGGAACACCGGUGGCGAAGGCGGCGUUCUGGACUGCAACUGACACUGAGGAACGAAAGCCAGGGGAGCAAACGGG